rnacentral:lncRNA from 1 species
AGUGAUGACUGUAUAACAACUUGUAUAAGUAGGAGCACUAUCAUUGUUACUUUUUCGGUGAAUGAAGAUCAUUUUUCCUCAAUUCAGUCCAAAUUCUCUCUUUUCGAAGCUUCUUUAUUCUCUGUGAUUGAGCUGCAUGAAUCUCAACUAUGGCAGCUGAGUUUCAAGUCAAAUUAUUCCGCUAAUUGUCAAUUUUGUUAUGGUAUCAAAGCAUAGGCUUCAUCUAUUGUGGUGGAUCAAGAUGGUUUACUCCAUUUUCGUCCUCAAAAUUCUACGAUUUCAGAUUGAAGAUUUAGGGUUUCUUUGAGAUCGUAAUUCAAUUUUUGAGUUUUUAUUCAAAGUUGUGUUCUACUUUAAAUUUGUCUAAUAGCAUCGACUUAUAGAAAUUCAGUCUGUAAUUCUCUCAUAAUCAUAUAUUUUUUUGUGUUGCCUUUAUU